GACGAACGCUGGCGGCGUGCUUAACACAUGCAAGUCGAACGGAAAGGCCUCUUUCGGGGGGUACUCGAGUGGCGAACGGGUGAGUAACACGUGAGUAACCUGCCCUUGACUUUGGGAUAACUUCAGGAAACUGGGGCUAAUACCGGAUAGGAGCUCCUGCUGCAUGGUGGGGGUUGGAAAGUUUCGGCGGUUGGGGAUGGACUCGCGGCGUAUCAGCUUGUUGGUGGGGUAGUGGCUUACCAAGGCUUUGACGGGUAGCCGGCCUGGGAGGGUGACCGGCCACAUUGGGACUGAGAUACGGCCCAGACUCCUACGGGAGGCAGCAGGGGGGAAUAUUGCACAAUGGGUGGAAGCCUGAUGCAGCAACGCCGUGUGCGGGAUGACGGCCUUCGGGUUGUAAACCGCUUUCGCUCAUGACGAAGCUUUGUGUGACGGUAGUGGGUAAAGAAGCACCGGCUAACUACGUG
rnacentral:rRNA from 1 species